CGGGUGAGUAACACGUGGGUGAUCUGCCUCGCAUCUUCUUGGGAUAAGCCUGGGAAACUGGGUCUAAUACCGGAUAUGACCUUACAUCGCAUGGUGUUUGGUGGAAAGAUUUAUCGGUACGGCUGGGCCCGCGGCCUAUCAGCUUGUUGGUGGGGUAAUGGCACUACCAAGGCGACGACGGGUAGCCGGCCUGAGAGGGCGACCGGCCACACUGGGACUGAGACACGGCCCAGACUCCUACGGGAGGCAGCAGUGGGGAAUAUUGCACAAUGGGCGAAAGCCUGAUGCAGCUGACGCCGCGUGAGGGAUGACGGCCUUCGGGUUGUAAACCUCUUUCGACAGGGACGAAGCGCUUUGUGACGGUACCUGUAGAAGAAGCACCGGCCAACUACGUGCCAGCAGCCGCGGUAUACGUAGG
rnacentral:rRNA from 1 species